AAGAUUGAUAAGAGACGUUUGUCCAAGAGUUUGUCUGUAUCCAUGUAAAUCCUUUGGUACAGUUCCAUUAAGAUUCAUGGCCCCGACGUCAGAUCCGAUUUUGAAGAAUCGGCGAAGUGGGACGAAUCGAGACGAUGUUUGCAAAAGUUUAAGUAGUAAACUUUUCGAUGCGGAACAUGUCCGUGAAAUCGUGGAUAACAUGAGGUGGGAUCACGAGGGAAUAAAGAUUCGACGUUUGUGUAUCGUAAAUUUUAUACCGUAUAAAAGGGUGGCUAGGAAGAGGGUGGUUAGGAGUGGAUAAAAAUAUAUAUCUGCAGGAUAAGAUUAUUUUCAAUUUCACGUACAACUUUGUAA